rfam:Ascaris suum AG00352, whole genome shotgun sequence.
CCAACGGCCCUCAUUAGGGCCACAAACGAAUAAAUCAAGUACUACU